rnacentral:rRNA from 1 species
AUGUGGACUGCGACCACGGUGACUCCUUGCUCCACCCGCUCCCACGCGAGGAGCUCCUCCUCGACUGCUCCCUCUGCCGCAUGCUCCGCUCCUGGCACCGCCUCCGCCGCUACGACCCCGCCAACCUCCCCGCUGUCCUCUCUGUCCCGGCCUCAUCCCUCUUGUGUCGGUGUAGGCAACAAUGGCAUCCUACUCCGCCACGCCCACGACGCGCUAAUCGACUCCCACCAUGCCGUGUUCCGCCCCAACAUCGCCCGCAUCAUCGGCUACACCACGGACAUCAUUGUGCCCGGCCUCGUUGACAGCGACGACGGGCGGCUGGUGGUACACCGGCACCGGUGGCAGCGCUAG